rnacentral:rRNA from 1 species
CAGUAGCCGCGGUAAUACGUAGGGUGCAAGCGUUAAUCGGAAUUACUGGGCGUAAAGCGUGCGCAGGCGGUUUGUUAAGACAGAUGUGAAAUCCCCGGGCUCAACCUGGGAACUGCAUUUGUGACUGGCAAGCUAGAGCGUGGCAGAGGGGGGUGGAAUUCCGCGUGUAGCAGUGAAAUGCGUAGAUAUGCAGAGGAACACCGAUGGCGAAGGCAGCCCCCUGGGCCAACACUGACGCUCAUGCACGAAAGCGUGGGGAGCAAACAGGAUUAGAUACCCCCGUAGUCCCUGUCUCUUAUAA